GAUGAAGAACGCAGCAAAAUGCGAUAAGUAAUGUGAAUUGCAGAAUUCAGUGAAUCAUCGAAUCUUUGAACGCACAUUGCGCCCGCCAGUAUUCUGGCGGGCAUGCCUGUUCGAGCGUCAUUUCAACCCUCAAGCACAGCUUGGUGUUGGGACUCGCGUUAAUUCGCGUUCCCCAAAUUGAUUGGCGGUCACGUCGAGCUUCCAUAGCGUAGUAGUAAAACCCUCGUUACUGGUAAUCGUCGCGGCCACGCCGUUAAACCCCAACUUCUGAAUGUUGACCUCGGAUCAGGUAGGAAUACCCGCUGAACUUAAGCAUCUCAAUAAGCGGAGGA
rnacentral:misc_RNA from 1 species